ACAUACCCAGUUGAUGCUCACCAAGUUAAUGUACCAUUGAUUUUCUGAUUGAUUUGUUUUUCCAUGAAUGCAGUUAGAAAAUGGUGAUAUUUUAUGCUUUCAGAAAGCUUCUGCUAUUGAUACUGAGAAACAUAUUCGCCAUCCUGAUGUGCCGUCAUACUUGGAGUUGACGAGUCAGGACCAAGCUUCAGCCUUGGCCUAUCGCAGUCAUCAGACUCGAAGGCUUCAUCUUCGCAUACUACCCGACAACAAAAGGGGAAAAUGCAAGCUGCAAAAGCAACUGAAUAGAAGCAGAAACCUACCGAGGCUGAACAUAGGUUGAGACACAAAUUGAGCAUACCUAAAGUGUAUGAUAUUGUGCAAUCUGUCAAUGGAAAAAAAACAAAAAAGAAGAUAAUUGAGGUAUUGAACGAAUACGGGUUUGGAGGAAUGCUGCACAUUUGCAAUUGGACAAGAAGCUGCAACAUGAUGUCUAGGUUCUAGAUGAUGUCUUACUAAGUUUUUGGAUUUGUAUAUAGAUAAAUUUUUGAAUUUCUUGUUAUGUUAGUUUAUGAUAGAUUUCUGAAUUUUUGAAUUUUUGAAAAUGCCUUGCUCAAAUAGGUUCUAGAGGAUAUAAUGAGUGACCAAGAGUCAGAGACUAGGUUGAAACUUUUUUAUGUAUUCAUUGUUGAGUCUCUGACAUGUGAGUUGGUGUAUGAAGAAUUGGUGGUUCAUGUCUUAAUUCCCAAUUUGGUGGAGAAAGCAUAUUUGUUAUUUAUUA